AUACUCUGGUUUCUCUUCAGAUCGAAUAAAGCUUUCGCUUUUUACUACAGAUUUCCGUUGAGAGAAACAACCAUGAGUUCAUAUAAAUAUGCUUUUCAGCAAUAAAAUAUAUAUAUGAUA